UGUGCGACAGGGCUCCAAGCUUGACAUUUUCCGCCGGAAGAGCGCCGUCGGGGUCGGUAUUCCUAACCGCGAGGCAAGAUGCUCAAGUCCAGGACUUUCUUAAAAAAGACGCGGGCGGGCGGCGUGAUGAAGAUCGUGCGCGAGCACUACCUGCGGGACGACAUAGGCUGCGGUGCGUCUGGGUGCGCGGCGUGCGGCGGUGCGCACGAGGGGUCGGUCCUCGAGCCGCAGCCCCUGGAUCGGGUCAGCAGCCUCUGCCCGCAGCCGCACUACUUGCUGCCUGACACCAACGUGCUGCUCCACCAGAUUGAUGUCCUUGAGGACCCUGCGAUCAGGAAUGUCAUUGUGCUACAAACAGUUCUCCAAGAAGUGAGAAAUCGGAGUGCUCCGGUAUAUAAACGAAUCCGAGAUGUGACUAAUAACCAGGAGAAGCAUUUCUAUACGUUUACUAACGAGCACCAUAGAGAAACUUAUGUAGAACAAUUACAGGGAGAAACUUCUAAUGACAGGAAUGAUAGAGCCAUUCGAGUAGCAGCAAAGUGGUACAAUGAACAUUUGAAGAAAAUGUCGGCAGAGAGUCAGCUGCGAGUUAUCUUCAUAACCAAUGACAGGAAAAACAAAGAGAAAGCUGUAGAAGAAGGGAUACCAGCUUUCACUUGUGAAGAAUAUGUAAAAAGCCUAACUGCUAACCCCGAACUCAUAGAUCGUCUUGCUUGUUUGUCUGAAGAAGGGAAUGAGAUAGAAAGUGGAAAAAUAAUAUUUUCAGAGCAUCUUCCAUUAAGUAAGCUACAACAAGGCAUAAAAUCUGGUACAUACUUUCAAGGGACAUUUAGAGCCAGCAGGGAAAAUUACUUAGAAGCUACAGUAUGGGUUCAUGGUGACACUGAAGACAAUAAAGAGAUAAUCUUACAAGGACUUAAAAAUUUAAACCGAGCUAUUCAUGAAGAUAUUGUGGCUGUGGAGCUUCUUCCGAAGAAUCAGUGGGUAGCACCAUCUUCUGUGGUUUUACUUGACGAAGGUCAAAAUGAAGAUGAUAUGGAGAACGAAGAGGAGAGAGAACGCAUUCUUAAGACUGCUGUAAGUGAAAAAAUGUUAAAGCCUACAGGUAGAGUUGUUGGAAUAAUAAGAAGGAACUGGAGACCAUAUUGUGGCAUGCUUUCCAAGUCUGAUAUUAAAGAGUCAAGAAGACAUCUCUUUACUCCUGCUGAUAAGAGAAUCCCUAGAAUUCGGAUAGAAACCAGACAGGCCUCUACAUUAGAAGGGCAGAGAAUUAUUGUUGCUAUUGAUGGUUGGCCCAGAAAUUCCAGAUAUCCAAAUGGACACUUUGUAAAAAAUUUAGGUGAAGUCGGAGACAAAGAGACUGAAACAGAAGUUUUGUUACUUGAGCAUGAUGUUCCCCAUCAGCCUUUCUCACAGGCUGUUCUUAGCUUUCUACCAAAGAUGCCCUGGAGCAUCACUGAGAAGGACAUGAAAAACAGAGAAGACCUGAGACAUCUGUGUGUUUGUAGUGUGGACCCCCCAGGAUGUACUGAUAUAGACGAUGCUCUCCAUUGUAGAGAACUUGAAAAUGGAAAUUUGGAGGUUGGUGUUCAUAUUGCUGAUGUUAGCCAUUUUAUUAGACCAGGAAAUGCAUUGGAUCAAGAAUCAGCUAGAAGGGGAACAACUGUGUAUCUUUGUGAAAAGAGGAUUGACAUGGUUCCAGAGUUGCUUAGCUCAAACUUAUGUUCCCUAAGAUCUAACGUUGACAGGUUGGCAUUUUCAUGUAUUUGGGAAAUGAAUCACAAUGCUGAAAUCUUAAAAACAAGGUUUACCAAAAGUGUCAUUAAUUCAAAGGCUUCCCUUACAUAUGCUGAAGCUCAGAUGAGAAUUGAUUCAGCAACCAUGAAUGAUAGUAUUACUACUAGUCUCCGUGGACUAAAUAAACUAGCUAAAAUUUUGAAAAAAAGAAGAAUUGAAAAUGGGGCUUUGACUCUUUCUUCUCCAGAAGUUCGAUUCCACAUGGACAGUGAAACUCAUGAUCCUAUAGAUCUGCAGACCAAGGAACUUAGAGAAACAAAUUCCAUGGUAGAAGAAUUUAUGUUACUUGCCAACAUCUCUGUUGCAAAAAAAAUUCACGAAGAAUUUUCUGAGCAUGCUCUGCUUCGUAAACAUCCUGCUCCUCCUCCAUCAAAUUACGAAAUUCUUGUUAAGGCAACUAAAUCCAAGAAUUUGGAAAUUAAAACUGAUACAGCCAAGGCUUUGGCUGACUCUUUGGACCGGGCUGAUUCACCUACCUUCCCAUACCUAAACACCCUGUUAAGAAUAUUGGCAACUCGCUGCAUGAUGCAAGCUGUGUACUUCUGCUCUGGAAUGGAUACUGAUUUUCAUCACUAUGGCUUAGCAUCCCCAAUAUACACACAUUUUACUUCACCCAUCCGAAGAUACGCAGACAUCAUCGUUCAUCGGUUGUUGGCUGUGGCUAUCGGGGCUGACUGCACUUACCCAGAGUUGACAGACAAACACAAGCUUGCAGAUUUAUGUAAAAAUCUCAAUUUUCGGCACAAAAUGGCACAGUACGCUCAGCGUGCAUCUGUGGCUUUUCAUACCCAGUUAUUUUUCAAAAGCAAAGGAAUAGUAAGUGAAGAAGCUUAUAUUCUAUUUGUGAGAAAGAAUGCUAUUGUGGUGUUAAUUCCAAAGUAUGGUUUAGAAGGUACAGUGUUUUUUGAAGAAAAGGACAAACCAAAGCCACGGCUUACUUAUGAUGAUGAGAUACCAUCACUUAAAAUAGAAGAUACAGUGUUUCAUAUAUUUGAUAAAGUUAAAGUGAAAAUCAUGUUAGACUCAUCUAAUCUUCAGCAUCAGAAAAUCCGAAUGUCCCUGGUAGAGCCACAGAUACCAGGAAUUAGCGUUCCUACUGAUACUUCAAACGUGGACAUUAGCGAACCGGAGAGAAAGAAGAAGAAGCUUCAAAAAUAGCUACAGUCAAGAAAACAAAACUUCAAAGAUUGGUUUCCUUAAAAAAAAAAAAAAUCUUGAGGGAACCCUUGUAAACCUAAGAAGUUUGUGUUCUUACACCUCUUCUAUGAAGAAGGCCUGCUUCAGGCUCUAGUCUCUAUCGAGUAGUUCAAGAUGACCAGAAACCUUAUUUUCACCCUGAAGCCUCUUCCUUGCUAAUCUAAAAUGCUUCGAAUGCCACUUCUUAUGCUAAGCAGCUGACAUGAAAUAGUUCAUUUAAAAAACCCUGUUUUGGGCUUCCCUGGUGGCGCAGUGGUUGCGCGUCCGCCUGCCGAUGCAGGGGAAGCGGGUUCGCGCCCCGGUCCGGGAGGAUCCCACGUGCCGCGGAGCGGCUGGGCCCGUGAGCCACGGCCGCUGAGCCUGCGCGUCCGGAGCCUGUGCUCCGCAACUGGAGAGGCCACAGCAGUGAGAGGCCCGCGUACCACAAAAAAAACUAAAAAAAAAUAAAAAAAAAAUAAAAAGCCCUGUUUGGUAAGGACUAUUAUUCCCAUUUAACCGGUGGGAGGUUGAUGGUUUAUGGCCUAUUUUGGGUCCUUAGUGACAGAGGAGGAUGUGAAUCCAAGUUACAAUCACAACUUUGUUUUUUGUUUCUUGAGUUUUGCUAUUAAAAAACCCAGCCAGGGAAGCACCUACCCUUAGGAUCUAGAAUCCCUCUUAAUGUACAACAGUUGUUUUAAGUUCCUAUUAAUUCUAAAGCCUGUGAUUAAGGACUCAACUUCCUAAUGCACUAAUCUUUAGCAAUGGACCUAGUGGCUAAUGGCUUUAAUGUUUAGUGUACAGAGGGGGGAGGGUGAGCCAGGCAUGUAGCAGGAAAUAAGUCUUGCAGGUUGGCAGGAAGUUUACAAGUUGCAGAAAAGUAAGGAAGGACGUGACACAAUGAUAGCAUGUCUUUAUUUCCUAGGGCUACGCAUGAAUUAUUCCCUCCUGAAUCACAGCUUUUAAAAGGUAAUUUGUAAAAUAUGAGUAUACAUUCUCCAAAGGUAAAGAAUAUUUUUCCCCCAGAUUAUAUACCCAUUCUACUCCCAACAUGAAUAUAAGUUUAUUUAUUUAAUUUUUAAAAAUUAGUUACAUGUCUGUCCAACCCUAGCUUCAUAAGCCUAAAGCUCUAUGGGAACCCCCCC